rnacentral:rRNA from 1 species
UUUAUCGGAGAGUUUGAUCCUGGCUCAGGACGAACGCUGGCGGCGUGCCUAAUACAUGCAAGUCGAGCGGAYUGAUGGGAGCUUGCUCCCAUCAGUCAGCGGCGGAYGGGUGAGUAACACGUGGGUAACCUGCCUGUAAGACUGGGAUAACUCCGGGAAACCGGGGCUAAUACCGGAUAACUCAUUUCCUCGCAUGAGGAAAUGUUGAAAGGUGGCUUUUAGCUAUCACUUACAGAUGGACCCGCGGCGCAUUAGCUAGUUGGUGAGGUAACGGCUCACCAAGGCGACGAUGCGUAGCCGACCUGAGAGGGUGAUCGGCCACACUGGGACUGAGACACGGCCCAGACUCCUACGGGAGGCAGCAGUAGGGAAUCUUCCGCAAUGGA